rnacentral:misc_RNA from 1 species
GAAAUGCGAUACGUAGUGUGAAUUGCAGAAUUCCGUGAAUCAUCGAAUCUUUGAACGCAUAUUGCGGUCGAGGCUUCGGCCAAGACCAUGUCUGCCUCAGCGUCGGAGUAAACCCUCACCCCAUCACCCAGUGGUUAAUCACCAGGCGGUGGGCGUGGACCUGGCCUCCCCAGUGCGCCCCCCAAGGGCACACUGGGCUGGCUGAAAUCUAGAGGUACGCGCACGGACCUGUAUGGCACCAGCAAGGUAGGUAGCUCGUCUACUCCAGCUGGCGCUUUGGGCCCGCUGCCGCACCCGCAGGAACCCCACUCCUUAUCGACCUGAGAUCAGGCAAGGCUACCCGCUGAACUUAA